GCUAGCGUAGCUUAAGCAAAGCGUAACAUUGAAGAUGUUGAGAUGGACUCUUAUAAAACCCCGCAGGCA
rnacentral:tRNA from 1 species